GCAGGUCCAGAGCAGUGCUGGAGUUGACAGAUGCAGUACACAUACAUGAGACAUUGCAGAGUAAGCUUGGACCUAAAGGGAACCCAUACAUCCGUGGCUAGCACCUGUGAAAAUGACUCUUCUGUGAACUUCACUUUCAGGAAGGAGGCUCUGUGGAGUGGGCAUGACCUGGAAUGCAUUAAAGAUUCAGACAAGCCUGACGGUGUGUGCUCAUAAGUGCUAACUACGCUACUGCAGGACUCAGAGAUGAGAAAAUGAAGAGUCGAGGGUGAGAGACUAGCCUGGGAAAGUGUGAAAGCAGUUUGGAAGGCCGGUGAGCACAUGUGCAGAGGAUGAAAGCAAUAUCCUAAUCAGCCAUGAUGCCUGCUCCGUCCUACCGAGUAGCAUUCCUCUUGCGAACAUCAUUGGCUUCACUGUGGAGAUUUUACAGAAGAGACCCCUGGGCCUAUGUGCUCGUUCACCAGGGCUUUAGUGACACCGAACUAAACAUCAACCUUGACAAUGACCACUGUUGAAGAGACCCUAACUAAUUGCAUCAUUUGGAGCUUCAGUUCUGAACUGUGACCUUGGCUCCUCACA